GAGUGAACGCUGGCGGUAGGCCUAACACAUGCAAGUCGAACGGCAGCACAGUAAGAGCUUGCUCUUACGGGUGGCGAGUGGCGGACGGGUGAGGAAUACAUCGGAAUCUACUUUUUCGUGGGGGAUAACGUAGGGAAACUUACGCUAAUACCGCAUACGACCUACGGGUGAAAGCAGGGGAUCUUCGGACCUUGCGCGAUUGAAUGAGCCGAUGUCGGAUUAGCUAGUUGGCGGGGUAAAGGCCCACCAAGGCGACGAUCCGUAGCUGGUCUGAGAGGAUGAUAAGCCACACUGGGACUGAGACACGGUCCAGACUCCUACGGGAGGCAGCAGUGGGGAAUAUUGGACAAUGGGCGCAAGCCUGAUCCAGCCAUACCGCGUGGGUGAAGAAGGCCUUCGGGUUGUAAAGCCCUUUUGUUGGGAAAGAAAAGCAGCAGGUUAAUACCCCGCUGUUCUGACGGUACCCAAAGAAUAAGCACCGGCUAACUUCGUG
rnacentral:rRNA from 1 species